rnacentral:lncRNA from 13 species
AUGGAACAAAAAGCCUUCACUAUCUUAUCCUGGAAUAUCCAAGGCCUGAGGUCAUCUGCCUUUGGCCUAAAGAGCAGAAACCCGGACUUCACCAAAGAAAUCGGUAAUACAGACAUUGUCAUCCUGCAAGAAACCUGGUAUAGAGGAGACGGACCCACUGGUUGCCCUCUAGGUUACAGAGAGCUGGUAGUCCCAUCCACCAAACUACCAGGUGUGAAACAGGGAAGGGACUCAGGGGGUAUGCUAAUUUGGUAUAGAGCAGACCUAACUCACCCCAUUAAAUUAAUCAAAACAGGAACAUUUUACAUUUGGCUAGAAAUUCAAAAGGAAAUUAUCCUAACAGAGAAAAAUGUCCUCCUGUGUGCUACCUAUAUCCCCCCACUAGAAUCCCCAUAUUUUAAUGAAGACAGCUUCUCCAUCCUGGAGGGGGAAAUCAAUCAUUUCCAGGCCCAGGGACAUGUACUAGUCUGUGGCGACCUAAAUGCCAGAACCGGACAAGAACCUGACACCCUCAGCACACAGGGGGACAAACACCUACCUGGAGGUGACAGCAUUCCCUCCCACAUAUGCCCCCCUAGGCACAACUAUGACAACAUAACCAACAAAAACGGGUCACAACUCCUGCAGCUCUGUCGCACGCUGGGUAUGUACAUAGUCAACGGUAGGCUUCGAGGGGACUCCUAUGGUAGGUACACCUAUAGCUCAUCUCUUGGCAGUAGUACUGUAGACUACUUUAUCACUGACCUCAACCCAGAGUCUCUCAGAGCGUUCACAGUCAGCCCACUGACACCCCUAUCAGACCACAGCAAAAUCACAGUCUACUUAAACAGAGCAAUAAUCAAUCAUGAGGCAUCAAAGCCAAAGGAACUGAGUAACAUUAAGAAAUGCUAUAGAUGGAAGGAAUGCAGUUUGGAAACCGACCAAAAAACAAUUAGGCAACAACAAAUUCAAUCCCUUUUAGACAAUUUCCUGGGUAAAACGUUCCGCUGUAAUAGUGAAGGUGUAAACUUGGCAGUAGAAAAUCUUAACAGUAUAUUUGACCUCUCAGCUUCCCUAUCAAAUCUAAAAAUCUCAAAUAGAAAACCGAAGAAAAUUAACAAUAAUGACAAAUGGUUUGAUGAAGAAUGCAAAAAUCUAAGAAAGAAAUUGAGAAACCUGUCCAACCAAAAACAUAGAGACCCGGAAAACCUGAGUCUACGCCUUCACUAUGGUGAAUCACUAAAACAAUACAGAAAUACACUAUGGAAAAAGAAGGAACAGCAUGUCAGAAAUCAGCUCAAUGCAAUUGAAGAAUCCAUAGACUCUAACCACUUCUGGGAAAAUUGGAAAACACUAAACAAACAACAACAAUAA